CGAACUCUGGUAUUGAUUGGUGCUUGCAUCAUGAUUUACAUUUGAGUGAGUGGCGAACUGGUGAGUAACACGUGGGAAACCUGCCCAGAAGCGGGGGAUAACACCUGGAAACAGAUGCUAAUACCGCAUAACAACUUGGACCGCAUGGUCCGAGUUUGAAAGAUGGCUUCGGCUAUCACUUUUGGAUGGUCCCGCGGCGUAUUAGCUAGAUGGUGRGGUAACGGCUCACCAUGGCAAUGAUACGUAGCCGACCUGAGAGGGUAAUCGGCCACAUUGGGACUGAGACACGGCCCAAACUCCUACGGGAGGCAGCAGUAGGGAAUCUUCCACAAUGGACGAAAGUCUGAUGGAGCAACGCCGCGUGAGUGAAGAAGGGUUUCGGCUCGUAAAACUCUGUUGUUAAAGAAGAACAUAUCUGAGAGUAACUGUUCAGGUAUUGACGGUAUUUAACCAGAAAGCCACGGCUAACUACGUGCCAGCAGCCGCGGUAAUACGUAGGUGGCAAGCGUUGUCCGGAUUUAUUGGGCGUAAAGCGAGCGCAGGCGGUUUUUUAAGUCUGAUGUGAAAGCCUUCGGCUCAACCGAAGAAGUGCAUCGGAAACUGGGAAACUUGAGUGCAGAAGAGGACAGUGGAACUCCAUGUGUAGCGGUGAAAUGCGUAGAUAUAUGGAAGAACACCAGUGGCGAAGGCGGCUGUCUGGUCUGUAACUGACGCUGAGGCUCGAAAGUAUGGGUAGCAAACAGGAUUAGAUACCCUGGUAGUCCAUACCGUAAACGAUGAAUGCUAAGUGUUGGAGGGUUUCCGCCCUUCAGUGCUGCAGCUAACGCAUUAAGCAUUCCGCCUGGGGAGUACGGCCGCAAGGCUGAAACUCAAAGGAAUUGACGGGGGCCCGCACAAGCGGUGGAGCAUGUGGUUUAAUUCGAAGCUACGCGAAGAACCUUACCAGGUCUUGACAUACUAUGCAAAUCUAAGAGAUUAGACGUUCCCUUCGGGGACAUGGAUACAGGUGGUGCAUGGUUGUCGUCAGCUCGUGUCGUGAGAUGUUGGGUUAAGUCCCGCAACGAGCGCAACCCUUAUUAUCAGUUGCCAGCAUUAAGUUGGGCACUCUGGUGAGACUGCCGGUGACAAACCGGAGGAAGGUGGGGAUGACGUCAAAUCAUCAUGCCCCUUAUGACCUGGGCUACACACGUGCUACAAUGGAUGGUACAACGAGUUGCGAACUCGCGAGAGUAAGCUAAUCUCUUAAAGCCAUUCUCAGUUCGGAUUGUAGGCUGCAACUCGCCUACAUGAAGUCGGAAUCGCUAGUAAUCGCGGAUCAGCAUGCCGCGGUGAAUACGUUCCCGGGCCUUGUACACACCGCCCGUCACACC
rnacentral:rRNA from 1 species